CCUACGGGAGGCUGCAGUGGGGAAUAUUGGGCAAUGGGCACAAGCCUGACCCAGCAACGCCGCGUGAAGGAAGAAGGCUUUCGGGUUGUAAACUUCUUUUUAGAGGGAAGAGCAGAAGACGGUACCUCUUGAAUAAGCCACGGCUAACUACGUGCCAGCAGCCGCGGUAAUACGUAGGUGGCAAGCGUUGUCCGGAUUUACUGGGUGUAAAGGGCGUGUAUCCGGGCUGACAAGUCAGAUGUGAAAUUCCGGGGCUCAACCCCGGACCUGCCUUUGAAACUGUUGGUCUUGAGUAUCGGAGAGGCAGGCGGAAUGCCUAGUGUAGCGGUGAAAUGCGUAGAUAUUAGGAGGAACACCAGUGGCGAAGGCGGCCUGCUGGACGACAACUGACGGUGAGGCGCGAAAGCGUGGGGAGCAAACAGGAUUAGAUACCCUAGUAGUC
rnacentral:rRNA from 1 species